rnacentral:rRNA from 1 species
GGGGAAUAUUGCACAAUGGGCGCAAGCCUGAUGCAGCGACGCCGCGUGAGGGAUGGAGGCCUUCGGGUUGUAAACCUCUUUUAUCGGGGAGCAAGCGAGAGUGAGUUUACCCGUUGAAUAAGCACCGGCUAACUACGUGCCAGCAGCCGCGGUAAUACGUAGGGUGCAAGCGUUAUCCGGAAUUAUUGGGCGUAAAGGGCUCGUAGGCGGUUCGUCGCGUCCGGUGUGAAAGUCCAUCGCUUAACGGUGGAUCCGCGCCGGGUACGGGCGGGCUUGAGUGCGGUAGGGGAGACUGGAAUUCCCGGUGUAACGGUGGAAUGUGUAGAUAUCGGGAAGAACACCAAUGGCGAAGGCAGGUCUCUGGGCCGUUACUGACGCUGAGGAGCGAAAGCGUGGGGAGCGAACAGGAUUAGAUACCCUGGUAGUCCACGCCGUAAACGGUGGAUGCUGGAUGUGGGGCCCGUUCCACGGGUUCCGUGUCGGAGCUAACGCGUUAAGCAUCCCGCCUGGGGAGUACGGCCGCAAGGCUAAAACUCAAAGAAAUUGACGGGGGCCCGCACAAGCGGCGGAGCAUGCGGAUUAAUUCGAUGCAACGCGAAGAACCUUACCUGGGCUUGACAUGUUCCCGACGGUCGUAGAGAUACGGCUUCCCUUCGGGGCGGGUUCACAGGUGGUGCAUGGUCGUCGUCAGCUCGUGUCGUGAGAUGUUGGGUUAAGUCCCGCAACGAGCGCAACCCUCGCCCCGUGUUGCCAGCGGAUUAUGCCGGGAACUCACGGGGGACCGCCGGGGUUAACUCGGAGGAAGGUGGGGAUGACGUCAGAUCAUCAUGCCCCUUACGUCCAGGGCUUCACGCAUGCUACAAUGGCCGGUACAACGGGAUGCGACGCGGCGACGCGGAGCGGAUCCCUGAAAACCGGUCUCAGUUCGGAUCGCAGUCUGCAACUCGACUGCGUGAAGGCGGAGUCCCUAGUAAUCGCGAAUCAGCAACGUCGCGGUGAAUGCGUUCCCG